rnacentral:tRNA from 1 species
CCCCUCGUAGCUUAACUGGCAAAGCAGCGCCCUCUUAAGGCGAAUAGUCUAGGUUCGAGUCCUAGCGAGGGGA